rnacentral:rRNA from 1 species
UACGAAGGGGGCUAGCGUUGCUCGGAUUGACUGGGCGUAAAGGGCGCGUAGGCGGUUCGUACAGUCAGACGUGAAAUUCCUGGGCUCAACCUGGGGGCUGCGUUUGAUACGUGCGGACUUGAGUGCAGAAGAGGGUCGUGGAAUUCCCAGUGUAGAGGUGAAAUUCGUAGAUAUUGGGAAGAACACCGGUGGCGAAGGCGGCGACCUGGUCCGAUACUGACGCUGAGGCGCGAAAGCGUGGGGAGCAAACCGG